CAGAGAAUAGUUUAUAUAAAAUAUUAAUUUUGGAGAUUAAUGAAAUAGGGUACUUUUUCUCUGA
rnacentral:tRNA from 1 species